rnacentral:piRNA from 1 species
GCAGCCAAAAAGUUGGGUGCUUCCUGG